ensembl:rRNA 5S_rRNA 5S ribosomal RNA
GUCUACAGCCAUACCACCCUGGGCACGCCCAAUCUUGUCUGAUCUCGGAAGCUAAGCAGGGUCAGGCCUGGUUAGUACUUGGAUGGGAGAAAUGAUUACCACAAUUUACCACAAUGAAACUAUUAAACAUCAGUCA